AGGUCGCCUACUUCUCCCUAACAAUCUCAGCUUUCUUUUUUUCUCUCUUUUUUUUUUUUAAAUUUUCCUGUUCCAGACUGAAAUGUGCUGUAGUGCCACAGGUCCAGCUUGAAGCAGAGGCCGUGGCUCUCUGCCUUUUCUGCUACACGCACAUGAGAGCUCCGUGAAGGCAAGGAGAUGAGAGAACAUCACUGAUAUAGCAACAAAGGACAACAUCAGAUCCAGUGGGAACAGGAAGUGAUUGGAGGAAUAAAGGAGCAGAUCGAGCAACCAGCAGCAUGGAACACUGUGGUGUCUUACCUACAGAAUGUGCUUCAGCAAAGGAAACUUGAGGCCAAAGGGAAGGAGACUGUAAAUGACAAAUGUGGAAAAAAAAAAGCAAACACCUUCAUUACAUGGAAAAUGGAGGAGGGGAACACUGCACAUCUAACAAAAUUAAGGGCAAGGACAAAGAGAACAGAGGGUAAGCUUUGCUGUCAAACAAGCUAAUAAAUUGCUGAAGGGAACUUCCAUUCAGGAAAGAGAGGAAGAAAGAGAUCUCCUUUCAUGGCUUAGAAACCCUAUUACCAGCCCACAUCAAGAAUUCAUUUCUACUGGCACACGUACAACAAAGAGAAAAUACUUAAGCCUAUUUCCUAUUCUAGGCUUUAUUUAAAAAAAAGAACUAAUAUAAGAUUAGUAGAAUUUUUUUUGGUAUAACCUUAUUAAACUGCUACAAACGAUAACAUGCAAAUAGAAAAAGUGGGUUGCUUGUGUUGUGGCUUAUAGUCAUGUAAGAAAAUUAUUGUCCACAUGUUUUUGCAUCCUAGAAAGACAUACAUGUGGGUCUUUAAAUACUCGUAAGUCAUCAAACACAGGCACAAAGUCAAACUUGCACAGGACAAUUUAAUUCUAGGGAGCUUGCUCUGGUCUUUUUUCUUCAGCACAAAAUUAGCUAAAGUGACCUUAACUGGGCUGAUGUUAAUCCCUUUGUGCAAAGGAAACUAUACAUAAGGGAAACAUAGUUUAAUAUUUACAAGUACUCUGAAAAAGAGAAAAAUGACCUUUCUUAAUUAAAUGUCAUGAAAUGAAGGGUAAUACUGGGAUAGAAUAUGCACCUGAAUAAAGAUCCACUUGUCUCUACCA
rnacentral:lncRNA from 1 species